rnacentral:rRNA from 1 species
UACGUAGGGUGCGAGCGUUAAUCGGAAUUACUGGGCGUAAAGCGUGCGCAGGCGGUUGUGUAAGACAGAUGUGAAAUCCCCGGGCUUAACCUGGGAAUGGCAUUUGUGACUGCACGGCUAGAGUUUGGCAGAGGGGGGUAGAAUUCCACGUGUAGCAGUGAAAUGCGUAGAUAUGUGGAGGAAUACCGAUGGCGAAGGCAGCCCCC